rnacentral:rRNA from 1 species
UACGGAGGGUGCGAGCGUUGUCCGGAAUCACUGGGCGUAAAGGGCGCGUAGGCGGCCUGAUAAGUAGGGGGUGAAAUCCUGCGGCUUAACCGCAGGGCUGCCUUCUAAACUGUCGGGCUAGAGCACGGUAGAGGCAGAUGGAAUUCCCGGUGUAGCGGUGGAAUGCGUAGAGAUCGGAAAGAACACCAACGGCGAAAGCACUCUGCUGGGCCGACACUGACACUGAGAGACGAAAGCUAGGGGAGCGAAUGGG